GAUGAACGCUGGCGGCGUGCCUAACACAUGCAAGUCGAGCGAAGCACUUUGCUUGGAUUCUUCGGAUGAAGAGGAUUGUGACUGAGCGGCGACGGGUGAGUAACGCGUGGGUAACCUGCCUCAUACAGGGGGAUAACAGUUGGAAACGGCUGCUAAGACCGCAUAGGCGCGGACGGGACAUCCCGUCCACGUUAAACGUCCUUUAGGGGACGGCUGAAGGAUGGGCCUGUGGCGCAUUAGCUUGUUGGCGGGGCAACGGCCCACCAAGGCGACGAUGCGUAGCCGGCCUGAGAGGGCGGACGGCCACACUGGGACUGAGACACGGCCCAG
rnacentral:rRNA from 1 species